AAUCAACGCUGGCGGCGUGCCUCAGACAUGCAAGUCGAACGAUUAAACUUCCCUUCGGGGAAGAUAUAAAGUGGCGUACGGGUGAGUAACACGUAAGUAAUCUACCUUCGAGUGGGGAAUAACGUCCGGAAACGGACGCUAAUACCGCAUAAUGCAGCGGCAUCUAUGAUGACAGUUGUUAAAGAUUUAUCGCUUGAAGAGGAGCUUGCGGCAGAUUAGCUAGUUGGAAGGUAAUGGCUUACCAAGGCGACGAUCUGUAUCCGGUCUAAGAGGACGGUCGGACACACUGACACUGAAUAACGGGUCAGACUCCUACGGGAGGCAGCAGUCGGGAAUUUUGGGCGAAU
rnacentral:rRNA from 1 species